AUGAAUUUCAACAAAGAUCACUGUUAAAAAUGAGGUCUUUAUCUUUUUCUUAAACUAAGUAAAGGAAUGCAAUUUCAAUCACAUAUAUAAAGAGAAAAAGAUAAUUUAACUAAUUUUUAACAGAUUUACAUGAUGAUAACAUUGAUAUAACAUUCAUCUCGAAACAAAAAUCAGAUCUUAACAUAUUCCAUCAACCAAAUCCGGAUCAAAUCCUUCUUAUUAUCAUCAAAAAUCUGCAAUAUAUGAAUUUGAAAGUUAUCUGGUUUGUAGAAUAAUAAAAUACAGUAGUGUAGCAACAGAAAUUCAACAGCAAAUAAGAUAGAAACAACAACAGCUCAAGUGUUAAGACAACCGAGAAAACUCAACAAAGAUGCUUGAAACCAGUAGCUAUCAACUUCACAAAUUGGCUAAGGGAUCUUUCUAUUUUUCUCAAAGUUUUUGCACUCAACUAAUACUCACAAAGUUAUGAAGUUUUAGCUUGCUAUAUGUAUUUAGUUGCUGAUUUUUCUCACAGAUAUGUCUUUAAGCAACUCUCCAGAUCCUUCUUUUUUUUCUAAGUGAUAGAGGAUGUGUCUUUUAUAGGAGAAGAAACCAUGCAUUCAUGAUUAAAAAUCAGUCUUUUUUGACAGAUUGUUUCACAAAAUCUGCUCUAAAAUUCAAAGGGCAAGACUUUCUUGUUCAAUCUUGUCCAAAAGAGUGUAUUUCAACCAAAAUCUGCUCUUCACUAUUCAAAGACAGAUUUUUGUUCAAAAACUGUCCUAAAGUCCAUAUUUUCUUACCAAACAAAUGACUUUUGAGUUUUGUACUCAAAAAAUCUCUGAAGCAGUAAAUAAGCAAUCAAGCAAGUACCCUAUACUUUCAAGUAUUCCUUCACUACCUCACUUUUAUUAAUACAAAAUUAUUCUACUACUUCAACAAGUGCAAAAACAGAAAAUUUAGCAUUUCAAGCUUUAAAAACUAAUGCUAAAAUAAUUAAUAAGAGACAAAAUAAAAAUCUGAAAAAAAAAAUCAGCCAUGAAAACAAAGAGAAAAAAAAAAGAAUAAGUAUGUUUACCAUUUCACAAUUCAAGUGGCCGAAAUUUGGCCGGAUUUUUAGUUGCCGGAUUUUCGGGACGGAAUUGACAUUAAUAGGUAGGUUUUGAGGAGCUCUAUCCGUUGAUAUAGGUAUUGUGAGGGUGAUAGUCGACGGAGCUUCAAAUAUUUGGGCAAAAAAGUGGCGACUAAAGUUUUCUAGAUCUAAACUUCAAGGAGUUUGAGGGGUUUUUGAAGGAAUUGGUUUGAAGAUAUGGAAAGAGGAGGUUGUAGAGAUUACAUGGUGUGAAUUUGGGGGUGUUUGGAGGUGGUCCGCCGCCGGUGGGUGAUUUCAGGCGGCGACGGCGGAGAGAAGAGAGAGAGAGAAGAGGGAGGAAGAAGAAAGGAAUUAUGGGGGAAAUGGGGGUAAAAUUUCAGCAUUUCUAAGUCUUAAAUACCUAGUUGGGAGAUUGAUU
rnacentral:lncRNA from 1 species